CCUACGGGGGGCUGCAGUGGGGAAUAUUGGACAAUGGGGGCAACCCUGAUCCAGCCAUGCCGCGUGUGUGAAGAAGGCCCUCGGGUUGUAAAGCACUUUCAGUGAGGAAGAACGCCUGGUGGUUAAUACCCAUCAGGAAAGACAUCACUCACAGAAGAAGCACCGGCUAACUCCGUGCCAGCAGCCGCGGUAAUACGGAGGGUGCGAGCGUUAAUCGGAAUUACUGGGCGUAAAGCGCGCGUAGGUGGCUUGAUAAGCCGGUUGUGAAAGCCCCGGGCUCAACCUGGGAACGGCAUCCGGAACUGUCAAGCUAGAGUGCAGGAGAGGAAGGUAGAAUUCCCGGUGUAGCGGUGAAAUGCGUAGAGAUCGGGAGGAAUACCAGUGGCGAAGGCGGCCUUCUGGACUGACACUGACGCUGAGGUGCGAAAGCGUGGGUAGCAAACAGGAUUAGAUACCCCGGUAGUC
rnacentral:rRNA from 1 species